CCUACGGGGGGCUGCAGUGGGGAAUAUUGGACAAUGGGGGCAACCCUGAUCCAGCCAUGCCGCGUGUGUGAAGAAGGCCCUCGGGUUGUAAGGCACUUUCAGUGAGGAAGAACGCCUGGUGGUUAAUACCCAUCAGGAAAGACAUCACUCACAGAAGAAGCACCGGCUAACUCCGUGCCAGCAGCCGCGGUAAUACGGAGGGUGCGAGCGUUAAUCGGAAUUACUGGGCGUAAAGCGCGCGUAGGUGGCUUGAUAAGCCGGUUGUGAAAGCCCCGGGCUCAACCUGGGAACGGCAUCCGGAACUGUCAAGCUAGAGUGCAGGAGAGGAAGGUAGAAUUCCCGGUGUAGCGGUGAAAUGCGUAGAGAUCGGGAGGAAUACCAGUGGCGAAGGCGGCCUUCUGGACUGACACUGACACUGAGGUGCGAAAGCGUGGGUAGCAAACAGGAUUAGAUACCCUAGUAGUC
rnacentral:rRNA from 1 species